GGGUCUCAGGCCACGGUCCCCAGUCUCUCUGGCGGCAAGUUCCUCCAUCCCAUCCCGCACUCACAGCCCAGGCGGCGCCCCAGGUCCUCCGGCCUCCAGCAGUGGCUCUUUCCUCGAGUCUGCGCUGCUCAAGGCAAAUACGAUCGCGGCGUGAAUCGGAAGAGCUGACCCCACCCACCCGAACCCCCGCACACAACCUUGCCAGCUCCUCGGGCCAGAGCGAGAUCCUGAAGAAAUAUGGCUACAGGAGAAAUGGGAACACUUAGGAAACGACCAGAUUCCUCAAAAGCAAAAUAAUAUACCUCAGGACGUCACCCUUAUUUUUAGCAGCUGUGCCAUAUUUCCGGGUAAGCUACACUAACAUAGAAAGGGAAGGAACACAGCCAGGGGGUCGGGGAGGCAGACACCACCACCUAAAACUCCUUGCUCUCAGUGGAAUGCCCAGGGCUCCGGGAAGCCUCCUUCUUCGGCCCUGCCUGUGUGUGUGAUUUCUGCUGACUCACUUCACGUCUCUGGUUUCAUACACAUACACCCCCGCACACAUCUCCUGCUGCCGUUGGCAUGUGCUGUCGUGAGCACAAUAGAAUGGCAGCGAGGAAGUAUUCUGCAAACUCAGUCACGCUUCUCCGUCCAGGCAGGGCCAGGGGCUGGCAUGGAGAUCCCCACCACUCCGCGAGGCUCAUGUGACAGCUGGACUCUGGACCCUAAAAAAAAAGGCCCAGGCUGCUCACAGCCAAGAACAGCUGGCCCGUGAGCCCCCUCUGGGUAGAGGCGUGUCCAGCUCAGUUGAGUCCUGCCCAGGGCCCUAUAUUCCCUCCCUCCCCCACCUUUGGGGCACACUGGCUGGACCAGUGAUCCCCCUGACUCCCCUGGACACAUGUUCUCCCUCACAGAGGUUAGCCUGGUCAUCCUCUGGCUCCCCCAGCUCUGGGCUGCAGCCCCAGUGCUUCUGCACUCAGUUCAGUGACCAUGCCACCGGCCUCCAUCAGCUCAUCCCAUCUCCCCAGAUUGAACGGAGAUCCCUAACCUCCCUCUCCAAGGGGACUUAGCUCAGUUUGGUUUUCCCACCAGGUCACAGGCUUCAAAGGGCAGGGACUGUGUUCUCAACGUCUCUGUAUCCCAAGAGCCCAGCAUAUCAUAGACCCUCAGUCAGUGUCUGCUGAAUGAAUGAAUGCACGUCUGCCAAUUACACCUGGUGGGGGCGGGGCGGGCCACGGCCAGCAGGCGUGCUGAUGUGAUGUGUAAGGGGUGAGGGACUGCAGGCAAGUUACAGCCCCAGCCAUGGCUCCAAAGGCCAGGAGGCACUGCGAGACCUGGAUGGUGCUGUGGGGCUCUGGACACAAGGUCUCAUCUGCUCCCAUGUUCUUUUUCCUUGAAAUUAAAACCCAAGAUGUGACCUAGGACAUCCAUUCGACCCCUAAGCUUGCAGCCUGCUUGAUACCAGCUAAUUUCUAUGGCAACUGAGCUCUGUUUGGGGAAAAUGUUUUCUUCUCUUUCCAUGGUAUGACUUCCAUUUCUACAAAUGCCGGGCAAGUAGCCAGACAUGGGGGUCAUUUUUUAAAUGACAACAGCAAUCAUUUAUUGACUGAGUGCUGUGUACCAGGAACCCAUACUACAUGCUCCUAGGUGACUUGGAGCACCUAGGUGAGCUCCUAGGUGACUUGCCCAAGGUCCCCCAGCUUACAUGGUUAAGGCCAGAAGUUAGCCCCAGAACAGAAUCUAUCCGCUAUUUCUAACAACAAAAGAAAGCUCUUUUUAGACUGGGGUGAGAGAUGGGGACAAGAGAAAACAUUUCUACUUCUUCUCAAUAGGAGCAUUAUUCCUAGGGCUGUACUGUCCAAUAGCCACAUGUGGCUCUUUACAUUGAAAUUAACUAAAAUCAAGUAAAAUGGAAAAUUCAUGUUUUCUGAGGUCCUCCACCCCACCAGCUACAGUUAAGUUCUCCACAACCACACAUAGCUGGUAGCCAUGGCAUUGGGGGGCACAGAUGUACAACAUGUCAUCAUCACAGAAACUUCUUCUGAACAGUACUGGUCUAGGGCCCCUCCCCCUCCAGAUCUGGGAGACUCUGGUCUCUUUUUAACCCAAAGAUCAACCUAUGCUGGGAUCAUUCAUUUCCCUCUGUCUGCUGGGAUCAUGUAAAAGCCUACUGUUUUCAGCCCCAAGGACUCCUCUUGCCAAAAGGUCAAGGCUAUUUCUUUAGCAAACCCAAACUACUUUAAAAAAGAAAAAUUAAAAAGCUCAGCAGAGGCUCCACUCCUGCCAUGCACUCCUGGCCUAGUCUCUGCUGGUCCUCCUCUCUCCCCUGGUCCCGGGACAGCUCCCUGGGGCUGGGCAGUGAGGAACCACACUCUCCCAAGAAGGCUGCCAUCUGCCCGGCUGAGUCGAAGCUCAUGCUGCUUGCCAAGGACAAGCAUUUGCCCAGUACCUAAGUCAUUUGUCAUAACUCCCAGCCUGCUCCUAACAAAGGACACAACGAUGCUGUAGGCAGUUCCUGGAACCCCACCCCACCAAACUCAUCUGGUGUGUUGGAAGCUUGGCCCCGGGUCCCCACCGCAGACUUGCACUUACCUGGCUGUGGAUAGUAUAAAUAAGUCUUUGAAGAUCCUGAUUUAUUUACUCAUGGUUGUUUUCUGUUCCCCCACGCAAGCCUUUAAUCUCAGCAUGCUCUGGAACAUUUUGAACUGUAAAACACGAGGCCAGGUCUGAUCUUCUUGUCUUUGAUUUUAUGGCGUGCCUCUUCCUAAAUUUUCUCUGACCUAGUUUGAUUAUUUUUAAAUGAAAGGGAAUUAAAAAUUGAAGCUGACGAUGCCAGACCUCCCUUGGAGAAGCCUGAGCCUUGUGAAGGUGGAAGAGGUUUAGGCUAACAGGAAGUCUAGGACCUACCAUCCACUUGCAAGGGCUCUUGGUGAACUAGUCCCACCAUCCCCACCCACUCCCCUAUAUCUCUGUCCUGCUCAGUUCACAGCUCACAGUGAGAUGGCAAAUAAGAAAACCUUGUUGGGAGAGCCAGGGCUGGGAAUGAUUUGUUGAAGAAUUAACUGUAUACAGAUUGUUCCAAGCUAUGUAUCAAAAUGAACUCAAGAGCAGGGACUGUGACUGCUGUAGACUAAACUGUGUUCCCCAAAUUUGUAUAUUGAAUUCCUGACCCCCAGUACGAUGGCAUCUGGAGAUGGAGCCUUUGGGAGGCAAUAGGAAUUAGGUCUAGACAAAGUCGCUCGAAUACUUAGGCCACCUGAUGCGAAGAGCCGACUCACUAGAAAUCACUCAUCAGCAUCACCUGAUGCUGGGAAAGAUUGAAGGCAGGAGGAGAAGGGGACGACAGAGGAUGAUAUGGUUGGAUGGCAUC